rnacentral:rRNA from 1 species
AUUGAACGCUGGCGGAAUGCUUUACACAUGCAAGUCGAACGGCAGCACGGACUUCGGUCUGGUGGCGAGUGGCGAACGGGUGAGUAAUGUAUCGGAACGUGCCCAGUCGUGGGGGAUAACGUAGUGAAAAUUACGCUAAUACCGCAUACGAUCUAUGGAUGAAAGCGGGGGAUCGCAAGACCUCGCGCGAUUGGAGCGGCCGAUAUCAGAUUAGGUAGUUGGCGGGGUAAAGGCCCACCAAGCCAACCAUCUGUAGCUGGUCUGAGAGGACGACCAGCCACACUGGAACUGAGACACGGUCCAGACGCCUACGGGAGGCAGCAGUGGGGAAUUUUGGACAAUGGGCGAAAGCCUGAUCCAGCCAUUCCGCGUGCAGGAUGAAGGCCCUCGGGUUGUAAACUGCUUUUGUACAGAACGAAAAGGUUUCUACUAAUACUAGGAGCUCAUGACGGUACUGUAAGAAUAAGCACCGGCUAACUACGUGCCAGCAGCCGCCGUAA